CUAAACUAUGCAGGGCUGCGGCCCGCCAGGAACUGAGUUUGACACCCCUGGUGUAGGUUAUCAUGAUGAACCAAACAUGGAAUCAAGGUGAUGCUAACUCCAGGUAGGCCUACAAAAUAUGUCAUCCCUGCAGCACUGUAUUUGUCAACGGUUGUGGGGAUGCUGGACCCUAUCUCAACGCCUCAAGCCAUAGGCAGGGAAACCAUCCCUGGGAUUACACAGACAGACAUUCACACCUAUGGACAAUUUAGUGUUUCCAUUUCACCUAUCCUCUAUCCUGCAUGUCUUUGGAUUGUGGGGAAACCAGAGCACCUAGUUGACACCCUCCAGUGUUUCCUUGCUACUGUAUCUUAGGGUAACUUAAUCAAUGGCAAGAGGAAAUGUCAGGCCAUCUCAGCAAUUCAGCAUUAUUUUAGGCCAUUCUUUGAAAGAUAUGUACCUGUG